GACGAACGCUGGCGGCGUGCUUAACACAUGCAAGUCGAACGGUCAGGCUCCAGCUUUCUUGGUUACACGAGUGGCGAACGGGUGAGUAACACGUGUGUGACCUGCCCUGCACUUCCGGAUAAGCCUGCGAAACUGGGUCUCAUACCGGAUAUGACCUUGUUGUGGAUACUGUGGUGUAGAGUUGUUUCGGUUUGGGAUGGUUGCGCGGCCUAUCCGCUUGUUGGUGGGUUAAUGGCCUACCAAGGCGGCGCCGGGUAGCCGGCCUGAGAGGGUGGACGGCCACAUUGGGACUGAGACACGGCCCAGACUCCUACGGGAGGCAGCAGUGGGGAAUAUUGCACAAUGGGCGGAAGCCUGAUGCAGCGACGCCGCGUGGGGGAUGACGGCCUUCGGGUUGUAAACGCCUUUCACCAUCGACGAAGGGUUUCUGACGGUAGAUGGAGAAGAAGCGCCGGCUAACUACGUG
rnacentral:rRNA from 1 species